GGACAAAGAUAUAUUUAAAACCUAGUGAAGCUAAAUCUUACCUCGAAUUAUGUAGGCUAGCUUUAAGCAGCGUUGCCAACUCUCCGCUAACGUCAGUCAAAUACCGCCCAACAGUCUAUGGCUCCUCCCUCACUUCUAAAAUCGUCACAUCCGCAACCAGGAUGAACUUGUUCUUGAUGGUAAACUUGAACAUUUGCAAUUGUUGACUUGACGAGGACCGUCCAAACACACAAUACUUAAUCUGAUAAACAAUGAUCUAUUUCAUUUGAUAACUUUUUUUAGCAUAGCUACAGCACUGGGAUUGAUAUAGCCACCUGUGGUGGACAAAAA